UAUUUUGUUUUAAUACUAUCAACCUCUUAUAAUAUUUUUUCCAUUUAAAAUGGCACGUGUUCUUGGUCCCAGGGUUGUUUGAAGCUGAGCGACAGGACUCUUCAAUUGUUUGAAAAUAUAUUUCUACCUCAGCUGGGGGAAGUCUAAGAUAUUAUGCUUUCCAGCUCUAUGGAACUGUCUCUUGAAGGGUGAGCAUGUAAGAAGAGAAAUCAGGGAAGUACCUUUGAAUAUUGUUUCAAAGAGGAAGCUGUCAAGCUAUUGUUGCUCCAUUUUUCAUUUUCUAGAGAAACACCUAUUUUAAAUACUUAUCCCUUUGCUAUCUUGUAAGAGCUUGCCUUGUCUUGUAAGACAUUACUUUUUUGACAUGUCCUCCUCCUCUCUUCCAAUUCAUGACUAGGUACAGGCUUUACAGACAUGGAUAUGUGAGAUUUCCUGUUGGUAUUCCCUUUGAAGCAUCUGUUGUUUUGUGGCUUGUUCUGUUUGUACAUUCAGAAACAAAUCAGCUUUUAUGUUACAAUCAAAACAUCUAAAAUGUGAAACUGAGGUUUUUUUAAUAGAAUAUUUGGUCUGUGACUGGUGGAGGCUGAUGGUGGAUUCAUCUCUGAAAUCCUUUGAGCAACAACAGUCCUUCUGGCUAUGGAGUAAUGUGAUAACCAAGAACAGUUUAUAUCUGGUGGUAAAAACAACAGGAAUUUUCUGCCUGUUCCUGCUGAUCAGUUUUAAGCAACUUCCUUGAUAGUCAGAGGACAGAGCUGACAGAUGUGCUGAGGCUCAUGUGAUGCCUAUUUGCUGAGGGUGGGAAGCAGAGUGAGGAACAGGAGCUGUGGUGUUGGCAGAGGUUCCCACUGUGCAGCACCUGCCCAUGAGAUGGGGUGCAGCUCCUGGAAAUCAAUCCAGGCUGCUUCAUCCCAGAUUUGUUGGGGCCCUGGGUGUUUCUUCCCUGCUCGAGGUGGUGGGGCUGGCUCUGAUAAAGCCCAGCUGGGAUCAGGAUGCUGGGGCAGAGCUGGGAGGUGCCCUCCAGGCACUCCCUCCUUCCCUUGGAUGCUAUGGAGAAGGGAGGCAUUCCUGCGCAGUGUAUGGCAGUCACACCCACUGGGAAACCAAGGGAAAUUUGAAGGGGCUAUGACUAAAGGGUUAAAUUUAAAAGAGGAUGCUAAAAAUCUUUAAUUUGUAUUCCAUGUAUAAUGGAGUUUCUAAAUAUAUCCUUUUUUCUGCCUGUGUCCACAUCCUCCAUGAGAGGGUCUGACUCAAAUUACUCUUGGUUUGUAAACACAAUUGCUUCUUGAGGGCACCACUUGUGUAUUGGUGACACAUGUUGGCCUGUCCCAGCUGAGAGUGCUGAGUGGCAGGAAAGGAAAGGGAGAUCUUCCUGGCUGCUAAUGGGGAGAACAGGAGAUUUCUGGACAUUCCUUCCUCAUCCUGGCAAGGCUGUGUUACCCUGACUGUGGCACAGACAUUUAAGAACACUUGGAGCUACUGGAUUUGCACGGAGUAGCUGCAAACUUCAUCUGUUGUGCCCACGUGUCCCUGCUAGUCUCCGAAGCUGUGCCAGGUGUGUGGAUGUUCAUUUCAACUCUAGAAUUUUAAGGACCCAUACAAUCAUGGAGACAAAGAUGUUGCUUUUACAC